rnacentral:rRNA from 1 species
UAAGCCUGCAUGUGUAAGUAUAAGCAAGUUAUACAGCGAAACUGCGAAUGGCUCAUUAAAUCAGUUAUAGUUUAUUUGAUGGUACAUGCUACUUGGAUAACGGUGGCAACUCUAGCGCUAAUACAUGUCGUUGAUGCCUGACGCAAGAAGGGCGGACUUUAUUAGGUUCAAACCAUCCGGGGCAACCCGUGUGGCGAGUCAUGAUAACGUAUCGAAUCGCAUGCCCUCGCGGCGGCGAUGCUUCAUUCAAAUAUCUGCCCUAUCAACUUUCGAUGGUAAGGUCGUGGCCUACCAUGGUGACAACGGGUAACGGGGAAUUAGGGUUCGAUUCCGGAGAGGGAGCCUGAGAAACGGCUACCACAUCCAAGGAAGGCAGCAGGCGCGCAAAUUACCCAAUCCCGACACGGGGAGGUAGUGACAAUAAAUAACGAUGCGGGGCCCUUUGGGUCUCGCAAUUGGAAUGAGUACAAUUUAAAUCCCUUAACGAGGAACAAUUGGAGGGCAAGUCUGGUGCCAGCAGCCGCGGUAAUUCCAGCUCCAAUAGCGUAUAUUAAAGUUGUUGCAGUUAAAACGCUCGUAGUUGAACUUGGGGCCCGGCGGUUGUGGUCCGCCUCGCGGCGUGUACUGCGUGUGUCGGGCUCUGUGGUGUUUGGUUUCCUUUUCGGAGGGGGCUAGACCCGGUUUACUUUGAGGAAAUUAGAGUGUUCAAAGCAGGCGCUUAUGCCGGAAUAGAUUAGCAUGGAAUAAUAAAAUAGGACGUUGUGGUUCUGUUUUGUUGGUUGUGACGGAACUGCCGUAAUGAUGAAUAGGGACAGUUGGGGGCAUUUGUAUUGACACGCUAGAGGUGAAAUUCUUGGAUUGUGUCAAGACAAACUACUGCGAAAGCAUUUGCCAAGGAUGUUUUCAUUAAUCAGGAACGAAGGUCGGGGGAUCGAAAACGAUUAGAUACCGUUGUAGUCUCGACAGUAAACGAUGCCGGCUCGGGAUUGGCCCUUGUACACUUUUUGAACAGGGUCAGCACCGUCCGAGAAAUCAAAGCUUUUNGGUUNCUGGGGGGAGUNUNGNCG